UACGUAGGGCGCGAGCGUUGUCCGGAAUUAUUGGGCGUAAAGAGCUCGUAGGCGGCCUGUUACGUCCGCUGUGAAAACCCAGGGCUUAACCCUGGGCUUGCAGUGGAUACGGGCAGACUAGAGGCAGGUAGGGGAGAAUGGAAUUUCCGGUGUAGCGGUGAAAUGCGCAGAUAUCGGGAGGAACACCGGUGGCGAAGGCGGUUCUCUGGGCCUGACCUGACGCUGAGGAGCGAAAGCGUGGGGAGCGAACAGG
rnacentral:rRNA from 1 species